rnacentral:tRNA from 1 species
UCCCUGGUAGUCCAGUGGCUAAGACUCCAAGCUCCCAAUGCAGGGAACCUGGGUUCAAUUCCUGGUCAGGGAA